UGUGCUUUACAAUUUUUUUUAAAAUCUUAGUAUCUAUAUAUAGAAAAUCUAAUAUAUAUGAUGACAUCUUUAUUUUUUUUUUAUUUUAUCUUUAAAAAUUUUUAAUCCAUCCUUAACAAUUAAAUUUAUAAUAUGACAAACACAUUGGACAUGAUAUAAAUCGUUACCUACAUGGGUUUUUAAUUGGCGAUUAAAUAGUUCAAUUGCGGCAGUGUUAUUAGUCGCAUUAUUAAAAGUAAUAUUGAAAAUAUUAUUUUAAAUACCAAAUUCCUGUAAAACACUCAUAAUAGAUAAAAAAAUAUUUUGGGCAGUAUGUGGGUAUUCAAUACUACUGAAAAUCAAUAAAAAAAAAUUUAGAUUCCAAGCAGAAUCAAUGUCAGAACAUAAAUAAUAAAAUUGAUUCUUACCUUUCCAUAUAUCAAAAGUGCAGGAAAUAGUAAAUUUGUGUGUACGUAGUUCGUUAAUUAAUUAAUUUGAAUUUUAAAAGUUUGAAGCAAUCGCUUCUAAUAGUAGUUCUAGAAACUGACCGGAAUUGAGGAUUUACAUAGUUUUGUUAAAAAUGCUCAAAUCCUAAAUUAGAUCCGAAUAUAAAAGAUUGUUCUGCAGCGGUCGUAUAAAUCGCUAGACUUUCUCUCAUUCUAACAUUAGAAUAAUAGAAAUUACCCAUCCCUACAUUCAGAAAAGUUUAUUUGUGACUAUGAUGUACUUACAUUGCUAGUACUUUUAGUAAAACACUUAACAACGUGUUUGUUUAUGUGGCUUGUGCCAUUACCCGAAUCUAAUAAUACUUUUUCGCAAUAUUUGCAACUAGCUUUAAUAACUUGUUUUCUGUACUUAGUGACCGUGAUUUAUUUAAAAUGUUGCCAAACUGCAGAUUUUAAUUUUUUAGGUGUCCUAAAUGUGGAUGUGUCCGGCAUGCCCGUGGAGGGGCUGAUCUGUUUAUUUGAGAUUAUUCUGCCAAUAUCAUCACCCGAGACCUCAAACUCAUCAUAUUUAGCCUCUUCCAUAUUUUGUAAAUUGUAAUCACGAGAAUUUAUUUUUUUGUAAAGUAAAAUUGCGAAACAAAAAUAACAACGAUGCAAUAAAAAAAAAUAUUGAUACUAUGAUACAUUAAGUCCGAAGCGCUUGAAAUGUCAAAAUUCAACACUUUUGCAACACUUUUCAACACUUGAGAAAUGUCGAGCAGUCAAAUAAUUAGAGAGUAUUGAGCAAGUAUCGAGCGAGUGGUAGAGAAUUAGUAAAUUGAGUAAAAAUUGAGUAAGGAAGAAGUAUGGAGGAUUAGAGGUAUUUAUAGAAUUUUUUUAUAAGCUAAUUGGACCAAAAUACCCAAACAACUAGCCGUACUUAUUGAAGAGGAGUAUUUAGGUCAUUAUACCUCAAUUACCAUUUUACCCCAAAUCAGCCGUUAUAUAGCUGUUGGGGGUAAAAAAAUCUAAACAAUUUAAAAAGUACCAAAAGAGUCAUUGGGUGUGAGGUUCAACAGUUUGAUGACACGUGUAAUAUGUGUUUAUAUAUUAAAUAUAAUAUUUAUAUAAGCGAAUGAGUAGUUGGUUCAAGUAGUUUAGUACUUCGCGUUUGAUGGAGGAUUUCGCGAGUUCAAUUCUCACUAAAACUCAACAUUUUUUUAACGUGACGGGAGGGGCUCACUGGCCAUGCCCAUUGCCGGCCCUUACCUUGUACUACUACUACGGUAAAACCAGAAUUACCUUGUACUACUAAUACGGUAAAACCAAAAUUUAGAUUCAACAGGAUUAAAAAUGUCAAAAUUUAUGUUCAGCGAAAUCAAAAUUAUAAAAUUUUAGACAAAAUAUUAUUUUUUUGUAGAAUCAAAAUUAUAUUUAUAAUAAAUUUUAUUAAGAAUAAUAAUGUAAUUUUUUAAGUGGGGUUCACUUACCUGGCUCCACCCAUUAAUAUGGUAUAUCAUUACAAUAGAUUACGUGGUACCGGAUCUAAUCAUUUUCUUGCGUGUAGGGAUUACCUUGAUAAAUUCUACAAGAUAUAAGGCUGAGAUUAUCAAAAUGUAAGUUGCUCGCAAUUUACCAACUUUAAUAUAAACUCUAAGGCUCCGUUUGGUAAUGCUUAAAAUUAAUUUUUUUUUAAGUUUGCUAUUAAAAAGGUCAAGAUUUUUUAGUUUUUUUAUUUUUGUGACUUUAUUUUAGUUAAAACUAAAUAAAAAAAUAAAAGCAAAAAAACAAAAAAGUCAAUUCUAAUUAAUUUUUUUUACUUAUUUUAAGAAAAAAAAAAAACUAAAAAACAGUUAGUGUCAAACAAGCCUAAAUCGGAAACUUCAAAAAACACUCAAUUCAUCAUUUCGUUCACGCAAUUUAAAUAUAGAUGAAUAUCAUCCACGCCAUAGUUGUUUAAAAGCGUAGGGAUUAGGGAACAAGAUCCGAAGACAAACGGAGGCUAAUGUGAUCAUUUUUAAUCAUCUUUGUAACCUGAGACAGACGCUCUCUAAAACGACAAAAACUCUCUGCUUUUCUCCUGUUUCUUUAUACCCUGUUCAGUCUGUUUCCUCUCUCUUUCCAUUUUUCAAUUUUCAACACUAGCUGAGCACCCCCACUCACUAGUAGAAGAGAGAGAGUGGGAACUGGGUUCGGAAGGAGAAAA
rnacentral:lncRNA from 1 species